rnacentral:rRNA from 1 species
GUGGGGAAUUUUGGACAAUGGGCGCAAGCCUGAUCCAGCAAUGCCGCGUGCAGGAAGAAGGCCUUCGGGUUGUAAACUGCUUUUGUACGGAACGAAACGGUCCUGGCUAAUAUCCGGGGCUAAUGACGGUACCGUAAGAAUAAGCACCGGCUAACUACGUGCCAGCAGCCGCGGUAAUACGUAGGGUGCGAGCGUUAAUCGGAAUUACUGGGCGUAAAGCGUGCGCAGGCGGUGCUGUAAGACAGGCGUGAAAUCCCCGGGCUCAACCUGGGAAUUGCGCUUGUGACUGCAGUGCUGGAGUGCGGCAGAGGGGGAUGGAAUUCCGCUUGUAGCAGUGAAAUGCGUAGAUAUGCGGAGGAACACCGAUGGCGAAGGCAAUCCCCUGGGCCUGCACUGACGCUCAUGCACGAAAGCGUGGGGAGCAAACAGGAUUAGAUACCCUGGUAGUCC